GACGAACGCUGGCGGCGCGCCUAACACAUGCAAGUCGAACGAGGUCUUUUAGAAGCUUGCUUCUGGCUGACCUAGUGGCGGACGGGUGAGUAACACGUGAGCAACCUGCCCUUCAGUGGGGGAUAACGUUUGGAAACGAACGCUAAUACCGCAUGAUAUCAUCGGAUGGCAUCAUUUGAUGAUCAAAGGAUUUAUUCGCUGAAGGAUGGGCUCGCGCCCGAUUAGAUAGUUGGUGAGGUAAUGGCUCACCAAGUCUGCGAUCGGUAGCCGGACUGAGAGGUUGAUCGGCCACAUUGGGACUGAGACACGGCCCAGACUCCUACGGGAGGCAGCAGUGGGGAAUAUUGCACAAUGGGGGAAACCCUGAUGCAGCGACGCCGCGUGAGUGAAGACGGUCUUCGGAUUGUAAAGCUCUGUUGACAGGGACGAUAAUGACGGUACCUGUCGAGGAAGCCACGGCUAACUACGUGCCAGCAGCCGCUGUAAAAC
rnacentral:rRNA from 1 species